AGAGCCCCUGAGUCAGUUCCUUGUGGUCUGACUUCAUUUUUUCCUUUGAAGGGUUGUGAAAUCCCAGAACAUCACCCACGCCUACUUCAGCUCUGAGUACAUUUGCGGUGCAUUCCAACACCGUUUCAACACCCAGUAGGACCACUUUGGAGAUCAUCUCUCUCCCCUGUGAGCCUUGGGGCUUGGAUAACAGGCAUCCCAGUUUGUCCUGGACUGUCCUGGUUUGACCACUGGAAGUCCCAUGUCCCAGGAAACCCCUCGGUCCCCACCAGAUGGCUGGUUCCCCAGCAGCGUUCCACAUCAGGGCCUGGACAACUUCCUUAAUGGGACGGGCCGUGGUUAUAUAAAGGAGCCGGAAGGACUGUAGCCAAGGCCGGGAAGAAAACCGCCCCCUCGGAAGGCUGUUUUUGUGACCGUUCUUCGGAGCAUUGUUCUAAAAAUGGGAAAUGAUAGGGUGCAGUGCCAGAGCGCACGGACACCUGCAGCCCUCGGAACACCUUGCACGAAGCGGCUUUGGGAGCCCCCGCCUGCCCCGGGGGGCAGAGCCGCACUGGGAGUGCCAUCUGGCGCUCUUCUUCACCUCUGAGGGGAGUUAACGUCUGUGACAGGUUGUCCUCCACGCAUCCACUCAAUAAACAUGCACUGGAUCAGC